GGAGAGGUGGCAGAGUGGUCGAUCGCGGCGGUCUUGAAAACCGCUUUCCGACUUGUCGGAACGGGGGUUCGAAUCCCUCCCUCUCCG
rnacentral:tRNA from 2 species